UCUUACGAAUAAGCAAAGAACGUGGUUUCUUGAGAUUGAAUCUACUCCUGAUGAAGAUGCUGUGAA
rnacentral:pre_miRNA from 2 species